GAUGAACGCUGGCGGCGUGCCUAAUACAUGCAAGUCGAGCGAACAGACGAGGAGCUUGCUCCUCUGACGUUAGCGGCGGACGGGUGAUUAACACGUGGAUAACCUACCUCUAAGACUGGGAUAACUUCGGGAAACCGGAGCUAAUACCGGAUAAUAUAUUGAACCUCAUGGUUCAAUAGUGAAAUACGGUUUUGCUGUCACUUAUAGAUUGAUCCGCGCCGCAUUAGCUAGUUGGUAAGGUAACGGCUUACCAAGGCAACGAUGGGUAGCCCACCUGAGAGGGUGAUCGGCCACACGGGAAGUGAGACACGGUCCAGACACCUACGGGAGGCAGCAGUAGGGAAUCUUACGCAAUGGGCGAAAGCCGGACGGAGCAAAGCCGCGGGAGUGAUGAAGGUCUUAGGAUCGGAAAACUCUGUUAGUAGGGAAGAACAAAUGUGUAAGUAACUAUGCACGUCUUGACGGUACCUAAUCAGAAAGCCACGGCUAACUACGUG
rnacentral:rRNA from 1 species